GAUGAAGAACGUAGCGAACUGCGAUAAGUAAUGUGAAUUGCAGAAUUCAGUGAAUCAUCGAGUGUUUGAACGCACAUUGCGCCCCCUGGCAUUCCGGGGGGCAUGCCUGUCCGAGCGUCAUUGCUGCCCUUCAAGCCCGGCUUGUGUGUUGGGUCGUCGUCCCCCCCGGGGGACGGGCCCGAAAGGCAGCGGCGGCACCGCGUCCGGUCCUCGAGCGUAUGGGGCUUUGUCACCCGCUCGAAUAGGGCCGGCCGGGCGCCAGCCGGCGUCUCCAACCUUCUAUUUUACCAGGUUGACCUCGGAUCAGGUAGGGAUACCCGCUGAACUUAAGCAUAUCAAUAAGCGGAGGA
rnacentral:misc_RNA from 1 species